rnacentral:rRNA from 1 species
GACGAACGCUGGCGGCGCGCUUAACACAUGCAAGUCGAACGGAAAGGCCUGCUUUCCCUUGUGGAUUGCGGGUACUCGAGUGGCGAACGGGUGAGUAACACGUGAGUGAUCUGCCCCCAACUUGGGUAUAAGCCUGGGAAACUGGGUCUAAUUCCCGAUAGGACGGCAGGGUGGUGCCUGUGGUGGAAAACGAUUUUCUAGUGGUUGGGGAUGAGCUCCCGGUCUAUCAGCUUGUUGGUGGGGUAAUGGCCUCCCAAGGCGGCGACGGGUAGCCGGGCUGGGAGGGUGGACCGGCACAUUGGGACUGAGACACGGCCCCGACUACUACGGGAGGCAGCAGUGGGGAAGAAUGCGCAAUGGGCGGAAGCCUGAGGCAGCGACGCCGCGUGAGGGAUGACGGCCUUCGGGUUGUAAACUCCUUUCGACCGCGAGGAAGCCACCUGGUUGGAAGGGUGGUGACGGUAGUGGUAGAAGAAGCACCGGCUAACUACGUG